GAUAGCCGAUACUUAAAUGAAUUUGCAGCAUUUCGUCAGCCAAAUUGAAGACGUCGAAAACAUAAUUCAAUGGCAGGGCCAAUCUGAAGACAAGUCACUUCAACAGUUUCCAGCAGCUGGCUUUAAUUAACUUAAUUGAAGUGUUGAAGGUGAAGUUGUUGCAGACGCAAGGGCUGACAUCGGACCUCGAGCGCUUUGCGAAGCGACCAAGCGUAAAAUUAUCUUGGCUUGGACAGGAAACGGAAUGCAUCUUCAAAAGUAUUGUUUUGCCGGUAGAAUAUGGCAGCGAAUCAUGAAAUUCUCAAAUGCAAGUGGCAACCGGCAACCGGAAGUUUCACACAGCUGCACGCAGAGAGCCAUGACAAAUGAUAAAUGGCGAGAGGGUCAUUUAGCAAAAGCAAGCAAAGCAAGCAACCAACCAGGCAGACGGGCAGCCAGGCAGGCAGUCAGAAGUAUUUUUGGCUUGUACGUGUAGAUAAACCAACUUGCAGGAAUGCUCAAAUCGACAAUCAACACCAACAGCAAUGACUUGAAUUUUAUACUGAAAUGGCAAAAACAAACACUCACACAGUACAGCCUGACACUCAGCGCCACAGCCGCCACAGCCGGCUCUGACGUCAGAGCCUCGUUGUGGGAACCGCAACGAAAAUACCCAAUGAAAAGUUACAACGACGUCAGCGAGGACAACAACGAUGCGGAUGCGGAUGCGAAUACGAAUGCGGAUGCGGAUGUGAGACAGAG
rnacentral:sRNA from 1 species